UACGUAGGGUGCAAGCGUUGUCCGGAAUUAUUGGGCGUAAAGAGCUCGUAGGCGGUUUGUCGCGUCUGCUGUGAAAACCUAGGGCUUAACCCUGGGCUUGCAGUGGAUACGGGCAGACUAGAGGUAGGUAGGGGAGAAUGGAAUUCCUGGUGUAGCGGUGAAAUGCGCAGAUAUCAGGAGGAACACCGGUGGCGAAGGCGGGUCUCUGGGCCGUAACUGACGCUGAGGAGCGAAGCAUGGGGAGCGAACAGG
rnacentral:rRNA from 1 species